rnacentral:rRNA from 14 species
GGAAGUAAAAGUCGUAACAAGGUCUCCGUUGGUGAACCAGCGGAGGGAUCAUUAC